AGAGAAUUUCUAGAUUGCCAC
rnacentral:siRNA from 1 species